rnacentral:piRNA from 1 species
UUGCUGGAGGAAGGUACACAGGGUGAAGCU